GACGAACGCUGGCGGCGUGCUUAACACGUGCAAGUCGAACGGUAAGGCCCUUCGGGGUACACGAGUGGCGAACGGGUGAGUAACACGUGGGUGAUCUGCCCUGCACUUCGGGAUAAGCCUGGGAAACUGGGUCUAAUACCGGAUAGGACCACUGCCUGCAUGGGUGGUGGUGGGAAGCUUUUGCGGUGUGGGAUGGGCCCGCGGCCUAUCAGCUUGUUGGUGGGGUGAUGGCCUACCAAGGCGACGACGGGUAGCCGGCCUGAGAGGGUGACCGGCCACACUGGGACUGAGAUACGGCCCAGACUCCUACAGGAGGCAGCAGUGGGGAAUAGUGCACAAUGGGCGCAAGCCUGAUGCAGCGACGCCGCGUGAGGGAUGACGGCCUUCGGGUUGUAAACCUCUUUCAGCACCGACGAAGCGCAAGUGACGGUAGGUGCAGAAGAAGGACCAGCCAACUACGUGCCAGCCGCCGCAGUAA
rnacentral:rRNA from 1 species